rnacentral:rRNA from 1 species
AACGAACGCUGGCAGCAUGCCUAACACAUGCAAGUCGAACGAGACCUUCGGGUCUAGUGGCGCACGGGUGCGUAACGCGUGGGAACCUGCCCUUAGGUUCGGAAUAACUCCCCGAAAGGGGUGCUAAUACCGGAUAAUGUCCUCGGACCAAAGAUUUAUCGCCUUUGGAUGGGCCCGCGUUGGAUUAGCUAGUUGGUAGGGUAAAAGCCUACCAAGGCGACGAUCCAUAGCUGGUCUGAGAGGAUGAUCAGCCACACUGGGACUGAGACACGGCCCAGACUCCUACAGGAGGCAGCAGUGGGGAAUAUUGGACAAUGGGCGAAAGCCUGAUCCAGCAAUGCCGCGUGAGUGAUGAAGGCCUUAGGGUUGUAAAGCUCUUUUACCCGGGAUGAUAAUGACAGUACCGGGAGAAUAAGCUCCGGCUAACUCCGUG